GACGGAGGGUGCAAGCGUUGCUCGGAAUCACUGGGCGUAAAGGGUGCGUAGGCGGGUCUUUAAGUCAGGGGUGAAAUCCUGGAGCUCAACUCCAGAACUGCCUUUGAUACUGGCGAUCUUGAGUCCGGGAGAGGUGAGUGGAACUGCGAGUGUAGAGGUGAAAUUCGUAGAUAUUCGCAAGAACACCAGUGGCGAAGGCGGCUCACUGGCCCGGUACUGACGCUGAGGUGCGAAAGCGUGGGGAGCAAACAGG
rnacentral:rRNA from 1 species